CAGCAGAAAAGCUGAAGCCUUGGGACACAAAGAAGACUUCAGCUAGUGCGAGAAACAAGCCCCAAAACACCUUCCACCAAACCAGACAAAAGAUGGAGGAGAAUGACAACCCCCCAAGCCCAUAGGGGCGACAAACUCCGCAGGCAUCUGCUGCGGCUUCUUCUCCCUCACCUCGAUGGAGCCAAGCAGAAAAGUUGUUUUAAACCAUCAUGUGCUGGAGGACCACUGCUGGACCAGCAGAGAGGCAUCACCUGAAUCACAUCCACCAUCGGAACUUGACCACUCACCCUGUGCUUCACUUCAUACAUCCCCUCAGUUCCACAGUUUGGGGUUUUUUGAAUGCUUGGAACAAAACACCAGACACACACAC